ensembl:misc_RNA 7SK 7SK RNA
CGAUGUGAGGGCGAUCUGGCUGUAACAUCUGUCACCCCAUUGAUCUCCAGGGUUGAUUCUGUUGGUCUGGCUGUCUGGGUGGAUGUCCCUUCUUCUCUCACUGCUCCAUGUAUGUCCUUCCCAAAGCUCUGUGCUUGGUCGAAGAGAACGACCAUCCCCAAUAAAGGAGAACCGGUCUUUGGUCAAGAGUAUAUGAGUAGAUGAUCUCCCCUGCUAGAACUUCUGAACAAGUGAGCCUCUAGCUCACUGUCACAGAACAGCUAAUACAUAGUUGAAAGCUGAACAGAUACAUAAGCAUCUGUUC